rnacentral:tRNA from 1 species
GUGGCGGCUCAGUGGUAAAGUGCUUGCCUUGCAUGCAUGAGGCCCUGGGUUCGAUUCCUCAGCACCACA